rnacentral:rRNA from 1 species
GACGAACGCUGGCGGCGUGCCUAAUACAUGCAAGUCGAGCGGACCAAAGGGAGCUUGCUCCUGGAGGUUAGCGGCGAACGGGUGAGUAACACGUGGGCAACCUGCCUGUAAGACUGGGAUAACAUCGAGAAAUCGGUGCUAAUACCGGAUAAUAAAAAGAACUGCAUGGUUCUUUUUGAAAGAUGGUUUCGGCUAUCACUUACAGAUGGGCCCGCGGCGCAUUAGCUAGUUGGUGAGGUAACGGCUCACCAAGGCGACGAUGCGUAGCCGACCUGAGAGGGUGAUCGGCCACACUGGGACUGAGACACGGCCCAGACUCCUACGGGAGGCAGCAGUAGGGAAUCUUCCGCAAUGGACGAAAGUCUGACGGAGCAACGCCGCGUGAGUGGUGAAGGUUUUCGGAUCGUAAAACUCUGUUGUUAGGGAAGAACAAGUGCCGUUCGAAAGGGCGGCACCUUGACGGUACCUAACGAGAAAGCCACGGCUAACUACGUGCCAGCAGCCGCGGUAAAGUA